CUUACCUUAGCUAGUAGAUUAGAUAUUGGACGGUGUACAGAAGACUCUCUUAGUACACAGGAAAGGAUCAACCCGUGCAUUUCCUCCUCAUCAUCCGCUUAUCCCAGUGGAUUAUCAGUUGACUGGUCAACCUGUACUGAUUGGAGGAACCAUGGGCACGUGUAGUUAUGUUUUGACAGGAACGGAAAAGGGAAUGAACCAGACGUUUGGUACCACGUGUCACGGAGCGCCGAAAUAUUGACUAUCAAGAAGUUCUCAAUGGUCUUAAAUCCAAAGGAAUCUCAAUAAGAGUGGCUUCCCCAAAACUGGUUAUGGAAGAGGCUCCUGAGUCUUAUAAAAACGUCACUGAUGUCGUUAACACUCAUUCAUCGGGUCUUGACGUGAUCAUGACGACUGAACCUCUCAGUAUUUUUCCUUUGAUAAGCUUGGCACACAGUGCUGCUACUGGCAUUUUCUUUUUGGCGUUAUUUGGGUACUUUUCAUCUGAAUCACUAGCAAUGUACUCUUGUUGUGAACACUCGUCAUACCCGUCGAUUAUAAUCAAAACUUCUUCGGAAUGAUGAACAAUGUACUCAAAUAUAGAGUCGUCGAUGUUUGAGUGGUCGUCUAGCACUGAGGAUCGGUUUAGGAUAUCCUCCAAGGUAACAGGGUCGUCCCCAAGUAGAUUAAGCUGACGGAACGUAAGUAAGUAUGCGAACUUAAAAUCAGGUACUUCUGCAUUUGCUCCGGAUCGAAACAAUUUGUUGUCAGCCCAAUCUCUGAUCACCUUUUGACAAAACAGUGUUUUACCAAUGCCUGCCUUUCCAGUGACAAGAACAGAUUCAGGAUGUUUUCCGUCAGUUGGGAUGAAAAUUUCUUGAGAGCUUUUAAUUUGCUUUCCACCAAUUUGACCAUACUGGCGAAGGCGUUCUUUUCUUUUCACAUCAAGAUCCUCGACUGGUUUUCUUCCAUGUUGCAUGAGGAUGUUGGUGAAUAUGUGAUCUGUUCUCACAUUGGACAUGGCCGGUGAGGCAUUAGCGAGGUACUCGGUUUGGCUUCUUAUUGAUUCUUUUAACGCAUCGGAGUAUUCUGCUACAGCUGAAAAGAAAACCGUUACCUCCAUUUAUUUUCAUAAACAUUUCAUGUACUAACUUUUUCAAUGCUCGACGAAGAGUCAUUGAAACGCGAUUGUUUCAUUGACUAUCACACUCGCUGAGUUUUGCUUUAAUUAGGCUUUCCAAAGGUGCAAGUUAAUCUCGAAUCCGUUCGCAAUUAAUUGACACCAAAUUCCGACAGACCAAUUGAAAAAGCGUAGCAAGGGGUUGGUGUGAAGGUUAAAUUAUUUCAUUCUUAAUAAUAUGCCUGCAAACAUUUCAGAACGCUCAUUAGAUGAGAACACGUUAAUUAAUCCCAAACAGCGCAGAAAGUUGAGAUUUAGAGCAGAAAGUUGGAAUUGAUUGUAGACAGAUGAAACAGUUUGAUUGCUAGGAGAGUCACAAAAGCGUAACAAAAUAAAAUAGCGGAGAGGUUAGGGGAAGGUAACAAUCUUUUUAAUCCAGAGUUUGAUGAAGAAUGCAAAAAAUAAAAUACAAAACAAAGCACAAACAACUGGCCAAAAGUCUAGAAGGUUUGUGCAUUGAAAAAUAUGAA